ensembl:lncRNA
CGCCGCCAGGGGGCGAUAGCUCCCCAGCGCAGCUGACUGAGGGGCGGCGGCGUCCCGUGCGCCGUCCCGGCACCUGCGUAGCGCUUCCAACGUGGAGUUUCGAGCUUGCCGUCCCGCAGUGUCACACAGUCACCCACGUGGGGCUCGUCCCGAGAAGGAACGUCUCCUGAGGUUGCACGCAGCACCCCGCACAGCCUUCCGCUGGCUGCCUAGGCGGGAGGUGGCACGUCCUCACAGGCACUGCCUUCCCUGCCCCUCACAGAACAUCACCGUAGCAGAGGGCACACAGAGGAUAUGAGCCCAGCCUGGUGCUGACUGCACCGUGCCCCGCUCCUCAGCCAUCAUCGCCAUCUUGGCCACCUCAGCACGUCACAGGGAUCAAAGCAAACCUCUCUGAACGGUUCUGCUCUCACCACUAGUUACACAGUUUCCAUUCAGGAGGAAGCUACAAGGCACAGGCUAGUUCUUGCUGGCAGCACAGCCAGCACCGUUCUGAGCCGGGAUCUCUCUUUGGAGGCCACUGCAGCAGGAGCCGGGGCAGGCUGGGGAUGUGUGGUAGCAGCCGUUGGCACAGGGUUACCUCAGCGUCCUGUCAGGGCACUGAGCGCCACAGAGCAGAUGGGAUCCCAGUCUUCCCGCCAUUUCUAUGACUGUAAAACUUUCCCAAAGUGCAAAAUUUCAUGCUUUUUGGAGAAGAAUCAAAGCUACCAGGCUUUCUUGAUGAAAAUAUUAAUUGCUAGUGCCAGGCAAGGACCUGGGCUCCAGAAGCUCCCCCAGCCGUGGCCUCAGCACCUGGUGAAAUGGCGAUGCUCAUCCUCUUUGCUCUCCUCCGCCUCCAGACGUCCCAGCCAGGUAAAAGCAAUGUGAAGAAACAAGGGCUUUGUUUUCCUCAUGAAAUUAAUACUCCUUGCAAAUACAUAUAUAUAUUUCCAAGUGCUUCCCUGAGGGGGGAAAUAAGGGAUAGAAGGUGGCAAGGUUGCAAGGUGACAGGGCAGUGCUGGUGGCCUGGCAUCCCCUGAGGGGCCCACCUGGUAUGGACACCUCCAGUGAUGUGACCCAGCAUGGAAAAGAUGCCCAAAAGAUGCUCUGUAAGACAGCAUGAGGCCUUCAGUCAUGGGCACGCGUGCUGUGAGGCAGGGUGAUUACCCUCACCAGUGGCAUACAUAUCAAAGCACCCAGAGCAAGAAUAAACAAAUAUCUUUGGCUCUGUACUCAUCUUCCAUUAGCCAAAAGGCAGGUGUGGUUGGGGGGAGGGGGAUAUAGCCAGUUUUCCAGCCAUUUCCCUGAACUCAACCCUGAUGUUGCAAGAGCUGCCUAGCUGUGAAAAAACAGCCUCGCCUUGAUUUAUGCUGCUUGUGGGUAAGAUGACUAAGAAAAAGGGGAAAGAAAAAAAAAAAAAGAGAAGAACAGGACCAGAAAUCCCAAUGGGAGCUCAGUGUGGGUGUGUACCAAUUUGGUGGGACAGUCAGGUUGGGGAAACUCCAGCCAGAGCUGCGAGCGGUAGGAAGAAGAGACCACAAACCACAUGGCAGCUCCGGUCUGCGUGGCUCAGCAGUUAUGGGAACCUACCAGGUCUCUAAAUGGGCACAGUUGUGGAUCAUGUCUCUCAAUAAGCUUGCUUUGAUAUUUUUGGUAAAUUCUCGUGAUGUCCUCACCGAUUCUCAUUUGGCUAUGCAUGUGGAAGUCUUCAGACAUGUCUGCAGUCAAAUGCUAGCCAUGUUUUCAAUCAACACAAUUCAUUUUUUAGAUUAUGGCUGUAAGAGAUUUUCAGGCUGUGUUGACAAGCCCAGUCCUUAAAAAAAAAAAAAAAAAAAAAAAAGCCUCAAACCAGUGUGCUUUGGGGAGAAGAGAGAGUAGGUGACAUCCAUUCUGGGAAGGAAGAAGCAAGAAUACCAAGAUCUGGCACCCUGGCCUGUGUUUGCUCUGAUGAUGCAUCGCCAUGUGCUCUGUGUCUUUUGGAAACACUACCCUUUCCAUGCCACGUCGUGGAUCGCCAGAUGAGGAAGCUUGGCCCAAAAUAAACGCCAGGCUGCUUUUCAUCUCUGGGAUUUGUUUGUGCCAAGCGAACAAAGUGACUUCUUUGUGGCUGUUUGCAUUUGUCGUUCCAAGUUGUCUGAGCGCAAGGUUAUAAAUACGCACCAGGGUUUGAUAGCCUCAAUAUGUCCAGUCAGACAAGCCUUGCGUGCUGGCAAGAGAAGGAUUUGGCUUGCCUUAAUUAUUUUUGUUUUAAUAGUUUUUAAAAUGUUUGAUAUAAAUCAAAGAUACUGUAAAUAAAACUCAGGAGGACGGGGUUCCUCCCUUAGCCAUUUUGUAGAUUGGGUUUCUGACCAGUGAUUAUUGGCGAACUUUCUGUUACAUAUUUGUAUUCUUUGCAGUCAUGUAUGUAAAGGGAUGCUGUCAAGUUAAGUAUGUAAUUUAAUGUCAAUGACAUUUUUUGUACGGAAAUGAAAUGAUGUCAGUAUUCUAUCAACUUACCUCCUCUUAGAGGAGAUGCAAAGUAUGAGAGGAACGUGAGACG